rnacentral:lncRNA from 1 species
GCCGUGUGUCGCGAGCGCAGUCACUGUGGAGGAGAGAGCGCGAGGCUGCGAUGUGAGAGAAACCUGAGGAGAAAAUAACGACAUUUUCGUGAAUGUUUUCUUACUUUUUCGCUCCAGUCGGGACAAAAAAGUACAAACGGGGCGUGAAAGAGUGCUGGACUCACCCAGAACAAGUUGAGUGAGUUGGAAAUGGCGAGUAGGUGGAGAGAGAGACAGAGAAUCUUCCGUUAAACUCUGAGGUAAAGUGGCCGUUUUUUAAGCUAAGCUAACCUUAACCUAGUUAACCUAAAGCUUCUCCACCGCCCGGUACGUUUACCUAGCUGGUUAGCCAGCUAACCUAACUAGGUAUAGUUAGUUAAUCUCUCGCUCUUUUGUUCUAUCUAACGUGGUUUGUUUUUUACACUUUUCUCCUCAGUAUUUGACGGCUUUGAGGAAUUUGUGUGAAGAAACGGUUUAUUUGAGCUCGUUGUGUGUAAGUUAUCCUAAACGAGGCUAUUUAUUUUGUAUUUGGUAACGCUAGUUUGUUUACGCUAGCUAACGUAUUUACCGUUAAAUGAGUUGUGUUGUUCAGAAACAGGCAGGGAAGGUGCCUGGAUGAGUGAGAGACACUGGUGGAUUCAUUUACCGUGGAAAAAAAUCAUCCAGCUCUGACUUUGACCGUAUAGACGGGACGGGAGCGAGGCUAACCUACGUCGACGGCAUUAAACAUUUUUACGAGUUGCCGGGAUGUUAUAAAAGCCUGGUCGUUUCUGCGGGACAGCAGGACUGAGAGAAGAAGGUCGAGAGCCGGGAAUCGGAGGAUAUUAUGGCUCUCUCAGCGGUCUCCCUCUGUUUCAUCGUCCUCGCCUCCGCUAACUUGCACCUGAGCCACGGGAAUAACCGCCAUGCCGUCUACUGGAACAGCUCAAACAUUCACAAAAACAAAGAGAAGCAGAAGUGUGUUGAUAGAUUUCUUUCUGAACGAGGGGAAGAUGAGCAUAUUCUUGAGCAGAAAAGCCCAGAUUACAGCCAGUCUGAGCCAGUACACAACUGGAUGGUGGGAUUCAGGGGUCCGUCACAGGAUGUAGGCUAUCACUGUGGUCUCUUACCAAAUACUAACCUGUUUUAAUAUGAAAGGCUUGUGUCUCAAUGCUUAGAAUAUUUUUUGGUUUGGUCAUCACAUCUGGUUUCAGUGAACAAUACAACCUAAUUGCAGAUAAAACAAAUGCAUACGGCAGAUGGGCGAUUUUCAUGGAUGAACACACUAAAAAACAAAGCCUCUGAUUGGUCGAUUCAUGGGCAAACAUAAUGAGACUGCAGAAAAUAUGCAAGCUAAUAAUAUUACACAGGGAUGUUUCAAGGCAUUUGGGGUCCCUAAACAGAAUGUAUCCAAUGUAAAUGAUCUUUUUAUUUGUAUUUUUAUUUGUUUGUCUGGUUUUAAUGAUUGCUGAAGUUUCAUAUUUUGCUGGUUGCAGGAAGCACUAACCUGCCUGGCUACUGUCAGAAACUAGUGGGAGGUCUGAUCUUGCUAAGAUUUACACAAAUUUUGAAAGCUUUAUUUUGCUAAAAGUGCCACAAGGUCUUAAGGCUAUGCUUUUGGCCUUAACUGUAUUUACACCUAACUACGGCUUAUAUCCUGAUACAAUUUUAGACACAUCUUGGUAGACAAAGGUGUCUUCUCUUAGGUUGUAUUCACACAGCAGGUAUAAAAGUGGCCCGAAGCUUAUGUUUUCUGUCAUGUGACACAAAUGUUUCAUUUGAAUGGUCGCAAAAACACAUAGAAUUUUUGGCAGUGUGCAAAGUCCUGCUGGAAAAUGAAAUCUGCAUCUCAUCUGCUGGUGUUGAUCCACUGUAUUUUAUCAAGUCUAAAGUCAGUGCAGUGUUUUCCCGGAAAAUCUUACAGCACUUCAUGCUUCCCUCUGCUGACAACUUUUAUGGAGAUGCAGUUUUCAUUUUCCAGCAGGACUUGGCACACUGCCCACACUGCCAAAAGUACCAAUUUGUUAUUAUUUAGUAUUCUAUUCUAUUUUUUGGGUUUUCAUUAGCCAUAAUUAUGUAAGCGAUAAUAAACAACAAUAAAAAAGAAAUAAAUAUUUGAUU